GAUGAACGCUGGCGGCGUGCUUAACACAUGCAAGUCGAACGAAGCACUUUUAUUUGAUUUCUUCGGAAUGAAGAUUUUAGUGACUGAGUGGCGGACGGGUGAGUAACGCGUGGGUAACCUGCCUCAUACAGGGGGAUAACAGUUAGAAAUGACUGCUAAUACCGCAUAAGACCACAGCACCGAAUGGUGCAGAGGUAAAAACUCCGGUGGUAGGAGAUGGACCCGCGUCUGAUUGGGUAGUUGGUGGGGUAACGGCCUACCAAGACGACGAUCAGUAGCCGACCUGAGAGGGUGACCGGCCAUAUUGGGACUGAGACACGGCCCAAACUCCUACGGGAGGCAGCAGUGGGGAAUAUUGCACAAUGGGGGAAACCCUGAUGCAGCGACGCCGCGUGAGCGAUGAAGUAUUUCGGUAUGUAAAGCUCUAUCAGCAGGGAAGAAAAUGACGGUACCUGACUAAGAAGCACCGGCUAAAUACGUGCCAGCCGCCGCCGUAA
rnacentral:rRNA from 1 species